rnacentral:rRNA from 1 species
AGUGAACGCUGGCGGUAGGCCUAACACAUGCAAGUCGAACGGCAGCACAGUAAGAGCUUGCUCUUACGGGUGGCGAGUGGCGGACGGGUGAGGAAUACAUCGGAAUCUACUUUUUCGUGGGGGAUAACGUAGGGAAACUUCCGCUAAUACCGCAUACGACCUACGGGUGAAAGCAGGGGAUCUUCGGAUCAUGCGCGAUUGAAUGAGCCGAUGUCGGAUUAGCUAGUUGGCGGGGUCAAGGCCCACCAAGGCGACGAUCCGGAGCUGGUCGGAGAGGAUGAUCAGCCACACUGGAACAGAGACACGGUAAGGGCUCCGACACGAGGCAGCAGAGGGGAAUAUUCGACAAUGGGCGCAAGCCUAAUACAACCAUACCGCGUAGAGGAAGAAGGCCUUCGGGUUAUGAAGACCUUUUGUUGGGAGAGAAAAGAAGCAGGUGAAUACCUCGCUGUUCUGACGGUACCCAAAGAAUAAGCACCGGCUAACUUCGUG